AUGCUGCCCAGUUACAUCAGAUUUCUUUACAGCUGUGAUCCAAGCCAUGCAGUGAAAACUCAAAUUCCUACAGAAGAUAAAGCAGAGAGACAUCAAAAUUCCUCAGCCUGGCCUACAGCUCGACUAAAGAAAAUAGAUGCAGUACUAGAUACUUGGAAAUUUUCAAGGUAUGGUGUUUCUCUUGUUUUUCUUUUUAUAUCUCUCAUGAAUACAUAAUACCUUUAAUACUGUGACAGGUUUGUGUUGUUCUCACGUAGCAGAGAUAAGGGCAAACCAAAGAAAAAAAAAACAACACAUAAGGAAGCCUAGUUAAAGAGAAGGACAAGGUCUGUGAUCAUCUAAAGUGAUGGUUUUGUCUUUCUUGGCGUGUCACCAUGUUUUACAGGCUGAUACACCACUUUUGCAAUCUUUUUCAGCCUAGCUUAAUUAUAUUUUGAUUUAGGUAAGAUCUUGAUGAGCAGAAACUGGUAUAUUUAUAAACACAGCAACUUUACAGCAUGAAUUUAAAACUUAAUCCGAAGUAACGUGAACACUUUUUAAAACAAGUGAAUUAAAAAUUUUGAGCAUACAAUCACUGAGGAUAAACUUUUGCAAUGAAAAGAAAGCUGACGCUGUCCAAAAUCUUGCCAGCUCUUUGGAUGCACACAUAUGUUUAGAGUUUUUAGGCCUCCUAUUACAAAAGGUUCAUUUGUAGAUUGGCCAAAAUAGCAAAACCACUACAUAAGUUGGGUAAGGAAAGGAAACCAUUUUAGUGAUCAGCAGUGCGUGAUUUAAUAUUUUGAGAGUCAAAGAGGCUCUUGUGAUUGCUCCUGUUUUACUCUCCCUGUGUUUCAAAAACCCUUUCAUAUUGAGCACAGCUGCUAACACUUACAGUUUGGGGAUAGUGUUGACACAGGAACACAAAGGGUUUGAGAUAUUGCUAGCUUAUUGCCAGGGUGGGAGGUCAGGGGGAGGGCAUGGAAAGGUAAGAGUUUUCCAAAGACAAAUAAUUGCAAAAGUAACUCAUGGUUAAAGUUAAAGACUAUAUUCAUAGUUGGAAAUUUAUGAUCAGGACAGAACGUGCAUCUCAUUCAGUGAUUUGGUAGUUUCAGGUAUCUUGAGGGAAACAUGGCAGGCAGUUACAGAUCUACCGCAGCAUGCCACAGACUUGAAUGCAAUCAUGGCAAAGCUACUGAUGCAUUCAUAUAGCAUUUUGAUUGCUACUUGCAAGUAUUUCCAUAAACAUGACAGUAGGGAAUUGGUUGUUCAAAGGAAUGAGUGAACUUGGGGAUAGCAGCUUUUAUUUAUGUUCUAGUUCUAUGAGUUGCUGAAAGUAGAAUCUUGAAACCUGUGUCAAAGAUGAACAGGCAGCUGAUAAAGUGUUUUUUUGCUGCUGGUAUUUUGCACUUUGUGCUUGGCCUGAGUCAGGUUAUGAAUUGAGAGUGAUACUAACUCUUUUGCAUGAAGUUCCUAAAAAUUAAAUAGUAAUUAAAGAAAGAAACCUGGAUGAAGUAGAAAAUAUGUAGAAAAAAACAUACUAAUUUCUGCAAAUGUUUAAAAACUCUAGAAGAUAAGGACACCUAUCUUAGGAUUUCACAGGGUAUCCAAUCCUAAGAAAAGGAAACAGGAUUCUUUUCAGGGAUCCAAUAAAAAAAUAAUACAUAUGUAAGAAAUAAUGAAU
rnacentral:lncRNA from 1 species